rnacentral:rRNA from 1 species
GUUGAUACUGCUAGUCUUGAGUAUAGUUGAGGUAGCUGGAAUGAGUAGUGUAGCGGUGAAAUGCAUAGAUAUUACUCAGAACACCGAUUGCGAAGGCAGGUUACCAAGUUAUAACUGACGCUGAGGGACGAAAGCGUGGGGAGCGAACAGGAUUAGAUACCCUGGUAGUCCACGCCGUAAACGAUGCUAACUCGUUUUUGGGCUAUAUGGUUCAGAGACUAAGCGAAAGUGAUAAGUUAGCCACCUGGGGAGUACGACCGCAAGGUUGAAACUCAAAGGAAUUGACGGGGGCCCGCACAAGCGGUGGAUCAUGUGGUUUAAUUCGAUGAUACGCGAGGAACCUUACCAAGGCUUAAAUGGGAAUUGAUAGCUGUAGAAAUACGGUUUUCUUCGGACAAUUUUCAAGGUGCUGCAUGGUUGUCGUCAGCUCGUGCCGUGAGGUGUUAGGUUAAGUCCUGCAACGAGCGCAACCCCUGUCACUAGUUGCCAUCAUUAAGUUGGGGACUCUAGUGAGACUGCCUACGCAAGUAGAGAGGAAGGUGGGGAUGACGUCAAAUCAUCACGGCCCUUACGCCUUGGGCCACACACGUGAUACACAUGCUMGUAGGUGACCCC